rnacentral:rRNA from 1 species
CCUACGGGAGGCAGCAGUGAGGAAUAUUGGUCAAUGGACUCAAGUCUGAACCAGCCAUGCCGCGUGCAGGAAGACGGCUCUAUGAGUUGUAAACUGCUUUUGUACGAGGGUAAACGCAGAUACGCGUAUCUGUCUGAAAGUAUCGUACGAAUAAGGAUCGGCUAACUCCGUGCCAGCAGCCGCGGUAAUACGGAGGAUUCAAGCGUUAUCCGGAUUUAUUGGGUUUAAAGGGUUCGUAGGCGGUCGGAUAAGUUAGAGGUGAAAUCCCGGGGCUCAACUUCGGAAUCGCCUCUGAUACUGUCCGGCUUGAGAGUAGUUGCGGUAGGCGGAAUGUAUGGUGUAGCGGUGAAAUGCUUAGAGAUCAUACAGAACACCGAUUGCGAAGGCAGCAUACCAAGCUACUUCUGACGUUGAGGCACGAAAGCGUGGGGAGCAAACAGGAUUAGAUACCCCUGUAGUC